rnacentral:rRNA from 1 species
UACAGAGGGUGCAAGCGUUGUUCGGAAUUAUUGGGCGUAAAGCGCGUGUAGGCGGCCUUGCAAGUCGGGUGUGAAAGCCCUCAGCUCAACUGAGGAAGCGCGCCCGAAACUGCAGAGCUUGAGUACCGGAGAGGAUGGCGGAAUUCCCCAAGUAGAGGUGAAAUUCGUAGAUAUGGGGAGGAACACCGGUGGCGAAGGCGGUUCUCUGGGACGGUACUGACGCUGAGACGCGAAAGCGUGGGGAGCGAACAGG